UACGAAGGUGGCAAGCGUUGUUCGGAUUUACUGGGCGUAAAGGGAGCGUAGGUGGUUAGGUAAGCCCUCCGGGAAAUCUUCAGGCUUAACCUGAAAAGGUCGGGGGGGACUGCCUGGCUAGAGGACGGGAGAGGAGCGCGGAAUUCCCGGUGUAGCGGUGAAAUGCGUAGAGAUCGGGAGGAAGGCCGGUGGCGAAGGCGGCGCUCUGGAACGUUUCUGACACUGACGCUGAGAAGCGAAAGCAUGGGGAGCGAACAGG
rnacentral:rRNA from 1 species